UACUUCCUUCUCUCUCCUCUCUCCUGGAAGCUCGCGUUCUCCACACGACCCCCUAUCGAAGCGUACGGCUCCCUCCGCUUUCCGAGGGGAAGCGGAGCAGGCGGCGUGGGUUUCGGCGCCCGGAGAGAUCCGCCGGAGUGGGGCGCAGCCCCGCUCGUCGACGGUGAGAGCUUGCAUGGACCCGGGGCCGUCUCCGUUUCCCGCGAUCGCUCGUCGAGGUUUCGGGUUCGUCCGGGAUUUGUUCCGUCAUCGUCUUCUUCUCUGCUCCUUUCGGUGAGGUGGGUUACGGAGGAAACGGGUCGCGGAUGAGCGUGUAGGAGAUCGGAGAUCGGUCGCCGUUUCGCGGCGUGAUGAUUGAUGAGCUGAUGGGAAUGGUCCGAGCUUUGGAGUCGGAAAAUGGCGGCCGGGGUGCAACAGAAGGUGUUUCGUUGGAGCGGGGCGGGUGACGUAGCUUCUCAAUGGACAGAAAAGCUCUGGACUUUUCGCCCUACUGGCACUGAGGUAGCUUCUCCAUUUCCGCCGCCAUCUCUCGUUUUUGGCUCCGCCGUCUGACCAAGGUCAGUUGCGUGCUGGGGAUUCUUGCGUCGGACAAGUAUGCUGGUCACAGUACGGAGCAGUUGAAGGGAGGAGUGGUUCUAAUUUCUUGUUCGUGAUUUUCUUCAAUCUGCCCCUUUGAUUCGCAACGCCCGUUCUAAUUCGAGCGAGUUUAUCUGGUUAUAGAUAGGUUUGAGGCACCGAAUGAGUCGAUGAGUUGAGCUCUAGUUUUUAGUCUUCUUGGUAGCUGAACUCAUCCUUUUCUCCGUUCGACAUUGUACUUUCUGAGGUUGCUUCUGCUGAUCGCCUCUCUCGUCGGCACUAUUCCUCUGUCUCUUCUUGCAUUGGAUCAGUUUUGAGCUUGCUCGAGAAUUGAUGGCCUUGCUUGAGAGCUUCGAGGACUGUCAAAAACGAGUCUUGAUUCUGAACGGCCGUAUCAUAUCCUCAGAACACGGACCGCAGGUUGCAAUUCUCAAGUUAUAAUAUUUAUCCAGGAAUAAUAAUAUAUGCUUGUUUCAGUAAUCUAAUCCUGUUUCGUAGUUUAAUCCUGUUCUUUCUGGGGUCACUUUGCUUUAGAUAAUGAAUGACCAUUACUCCAAGUUUGUUCUGCAUUUGCGUCCAUUGUGAUGUUUUAUCCUUUGUUGUGGAGUAGCUAACAUGAUGUAUCAGUCACCCCAAUUAGAUCAAAAUGCCAACCUCAUUCGGUGUGAGAGUGCUUGGUCAUUGAUGUUGUUACAGUCAGGUUGAACUGCUGGGAAGCUGUCUUGGUGGAGAUGGAGUAUGGAGGAACUACAUUAGUGGGCCAAGCUGAUGCCUGUGUGAUAGAGCAGAGCCUUUUUGUCAGCUCUGUUGAAAUAAUUCAAUGGACUUAGAGCCAAUGAGGGGUCGAGCAGGGAUGCACAAAAAGGAAAUUGGUCGCACCUUUUUCACACGAAUACCCUUCAAGCUCAUUUCCAAUUGGUUUUCCAAAUUCUGUAGUUCUUUUACGCUGAGACCAGAUAGUUCUUGUCCCAUUAAUUGCCUGCAUGUAUGGAAUGAAGAAAAGAAUUCACAUUGUUGACUCUUGCGUGAUGUAUUCUUAUAGUCGGAUUGAAUGAAGUACCCUUGAACUUAUCCAGUA